rnacentral:rRNA from 1 species
CACGUAGGGUGCGAGCGUUGUUCGGAUUUACUGGGCGUAAAGGGCGCGUAGGCGGUCAGCACAAGUCAGUUGUGAAAUCUCCGGGCUUAACUCGGAAAGGUCAACUGAUACUGUGCGGCUAGAGUGCGGAAGGGGCAACUGGAAUUCUUGGUGUAGCGGUGAAAUGCGUAGAUAUCAAGAGGAACACCUGCGGCGAAGGCGGGUUGCUGGGCCGACACUGACGCUGAGGCGCGAAAGCCAGGGGAGC